rnacentral:rRNA from 1 species
UAACGCGGGGCAACCUGGCGACGAGUGGCGAACGGGUGAGUAAUAUAUCGGAACGUGCCCAGUAGUGGGGGAUAGCCCGGCGAAAGCCGGAUUAAUACCGCAUACGACCUACGGGUGAAAGGGGGGGAUCGCAAGACCUCUCGCUAUUGGAGCGGCCGAUAUCAGAUUAGGUAGUUGGUGGGGUAAAGGCCUACCAAGCCGACGAUCUGUAGCUGGUCUGAGAGGACGACCAGCCACACUGGGACUGAGACACGGCCCAGACUCCUACGGGAGGCAGCAGUGGGGAAUUUUGGACAAUGGGCGCAAGCCUGAUCCAGCCAUGCCGCGUGCGGGAAGAAGGCCUUCGGGUUGUAAACCGCUUUUGUCAGGGAAGAAAAGUUCUGGGUUAAUACCCUGGGGCGAUGACGGUACCUGAAGAAUAAGCACCGGCUAACUACGUGCCAGCAGCCGCGGUAAU